rnacentral:rRNA from 1 species
UACGAAGGGGGCGAGCGUUAUUCGGAAUCACUGGGCGUAAAGGGUGCGUAGGCUGUUCUGCAAGUCAGAAGUGAAAGCCCAGGGCUUAACCUUGGAAUUGCUUUUGAAACUGCAGGACUUGAAUCUCGGAGAGGAUAGCGGAAUUUCCAGUGUAGCAGUGAAAUGCGUAGAUAUUGGAAGGAACACCGGUGGCGUAAGCGGCUAUCUGGACGAGUAUUGACGCUGAGGCACGAAAGCGUGGGGAUCAAACAGG